UACGUAGGGGGCAAGCGUUGUCCGGAUUUAUUGGGCGUAAAGAGCGUGUAGGCGGCCAACCAGGUCAGCUGUGAAAACUCGAGGCUCAACCUCGAGACGUCGGUUGAAACCGUUUGGCUAGAGUCCGGAAGAGGAGAGUGGAAUUCCCGGUGUAGCGGUGAAAUGCGCAGAUAUCGGGAAGAACACCCGUGGCGAAGGCGGCUCUCUGGGACGGUACUGACGCUGAGACGCGAAAGCGUGGGGAGCAAACAGG
rnacentral:rRNA from 1 species